rnacentral:rRNA from 1 species
UACGUAGGGUGCAAGCGUUGUCCGGAAUUAUUGGGCGUAAAGAGCUCGUAGGUGGCCUGUCGCGUCGGCUGUGAAAACUCGGGGCUCAACUCCGAGCUUGCAGUCGAUACGGGCAGGCUAGAGUUCGGCAGGGGAGACUGGAAUUCCUGGUGUAGCGGUGAAAUGCGCAGAUAUCAGGAGGAACACCGGUGGCGAAGGCGGGUCUCUGGGCCGAUACUGACACUGAGGAGCGAAAGCGUGGGGAGCGAGCAGG